rnacentral:rRNA from 1 species
UACGGGGGGGGCAAGCGUUGUUCGGAAUUACUGGGCGUAAAGGGCUCGUAGGCGGCCAACUAAGUCGGAUGUGAAAUCCCCAGGCUCAACUUGGGAACUGCAUCCGAUACUGGAUGGCUUGAAUUCGGGAGAGGGAUGCAGAAUUCCAGGUGUAGCGGUGAAAUGCGUAGAUAUCUGGAGGAAUACCGGUGGCGAAGGCGGCAUCCUGGACCGAGAUUGACGCUGAGACGCGAAAGCGUGGGGAGCGAACAGG